GACGAACGCUGGCGGCGUGCCUAAUACAUGCAAGUCGAACGCAGUGGGGACGGGUGAGUAACACGUGGGUAACCUCCCAUCAGAGGGGAUAACACUUGGCAACAGGUGUUAAACCUAUACUGAUGGAUGGACCCGCGGUGCAUUAGCUCGUUGGUGAGGUAACGGCCCACCAAGGCCACGAUGACUAGCCGCCCUGAUAGGUGGAUCGGCAACACUGGGAAUGAGACACGGCCCAGACUCCUACGGGAGGCAGAAUUAGGGAAUCUUCGGCAAUGGACGAAAGUCUGACGGAGCAACGCCGCGUGAGUGAAGAAGGUUUUCGGAUCGUAAAACUCUGUUGUUAGAGAAGCGGUAUCUAACCAGAAAGCCACGGCUAACUACGUGCCAGCAGCCGCGGUAAUUC
rnacentral:rRNA from 1 species